rnacentral:lncRNA from 1 species
UGUCAAGGGCCUGUUCAAGAUGUUGAAUUUAAAUCCACUGUUGAUUCACAGUUGCAAUUACCUGCAUGCAUAGACGGUAGGGUGGAUGUAAUGACAGAAGAACGGUGAUUGGCAGUGGUGUUGAGCUCCAGUGACAGCGACAACAUCAUGUAAGUAUGAAUGAUUCAUCCCGUGCAAAUGAAAGCUUUCAUCAACUGGAUUAAGUCGUUUAUUGCUUUUCAAUUUUCUUAUAAAAAUUCAUUCACGUCUCUUGUAACAACAGUAAGCAGCAGGAUAUUGCAGAAUCAACAGUGGAUUUAAAUUCAACAUCUUGAACAGGC